rnacentral:tRNA from 1 species
GCCCACGUAGCUCAGGGGAUAGAGCACCUGCCUCCGGAGCAGGGUGUCGCAGGUUCGAAUCCUGCCGUGGGUA